rnacentral:rRNA from 1 species
UUGAUCCUGCCGGAGGGUUACUGCUAUCGAGGUUCGACUAAGCCAUGCGAGUCGAAUGUAGCAAUACAUGGCGUACUGCUCAGUAACACGUGGACAACCUACCCUUAGGUCGGGGAUAAACCCGGGAAACUGGGUAUAAUACCCGAUAGAUCUCGACUGCUGGAAUGCAUCGAGAUCGAAAGCUCCGGCGCCUAAGGAUGGGUCUGCGGCCUAUCAGGUAGUAGUGGGUGUAGCGUACCUACUAGCCUACGACGGGUACGGGUUGUGAGAGCAAGAGCCCGGAGAUGGAUUCUGAGACACGAAUCCAGGCCCUACGGGGUGCAGCAGGCGCGAAAACUUUACAAUGCUGGAAACAGCGAUAAGGGGACCUCGAGUGCCAGGUUACAAAUCUGGCUGUCGUGAUGCCUAAAAAGCAUUGCAUAGCAAGGGCCGGGCAAGACCGGUGCCAGCCGCCGCGGUAACACCGGCGGCUCGAGUGGUAACCGUUAUUAUUGGGUCUAAAGGGUCUGUAGCCGGCCGGAUAAGUCUCUUGGGAAAUCCAGCAGCUCAACUGUUGGGCUUUCAGGAGAUACUGUCUGGCUCGAGGCCGGGAGAGGUGAGAGGUACUUCAGGGGUAGGGGUGAAAUCUUGUAAUCCUUGAAGGACCACCAGUGGCGAAGGCGUCUCACCAGAACGGACCUGACGGCAAGGGACGAAAGCUAGGGGCACGAACCGGAUUAGAUACCCGGGUAGUCCUAGCCGUAAACGAUACUCGCUAGGUGUCGGCCACGGUGCGACCGUUGUCGGUGCCGUAGGGAAGCCGUGAAGCGAGCCACCUGGGAAGUACGGGCCGCAAGGCUGAAACUUAAAGGAAUUGGCGGGGGAGCACCACAACGGGUGGAGCUUGCGGUUUAAUUGGAUUCA